AAUGGAGGCUUCUUUCCUUUGUACCACACCUGGCCCCAGGGCUGCAAAAAGGGCUGGACAAGCCCAUCAAACUUUCAGUGACAUUUCACAGGCUGCGGCUGCAAAAACGGCUGCCCUGCUGCCUGGAGGCAGAACUUGCAAACCUGCCCAGGAGACCAGAUGCACCAUGAAUGGCAGGAAAUACAGUGGCAAAGGGACUCUGAGGAAUCAAACAUGCUUAUAAUGAAUUCUCUUAAAAAGAUCCAGGAAAUUUGUUUCUCUCAAGGGACAUCUACCAGAACAGAAGGGAAGCUGCCUACUGUGUAGUCAUGACCUGAGAAUGACCAUCUGAAUAACCUGCAGAAAUGCUCAGGCUUUGUGCAAGAGAGGCUAUUGGUCAGUGAAACAUCUUUGAAAUUAACAAAUGUUUUUUGAAUAAAAAAACAAAUAAACCAGUAUUUGAUACCAGUUGGCGAUUUGUCCUAAACCUGCUUCUAUACAUUCUCAUGUUUUUAAAAUUCAAUUUUUAAUAAUUUUCCCUGAUUUUACUGAUAAAAUUUGCUUUAGGAAAUUUAGGAAAGUCAGACUAGUGUAAAGAAGCAAGGUGAAAAAAAUUGGCCACAGAAUUCACCUUUGGGUUAUUUUCUUUGUCAUGUCCUGUGUAUUUUUCUAGAAGUUUUCAUAGUUGAGAUCAUAAUGUAUACACAUGAUAUCCUGCUUUUUUCCUCCAUUUAGAGUAUAUUCUAAGCACUUUCAAUAUAUAUUUAUUCAUUCACUGCAGUCCUUAUUAGAUGCAAGGGAAAUAAUUGUAGGCUAGUUACUAGUGGGUAUAUUGAACCAUUUGUCUGCUCUUGGGAAGACAGUUUAGUUUAGUGACUGAGA